AACGCACCUUGCGCCCUUUGGUAUUCCGAAGGGCACGCCUGUUGGAGUGUCAUGAAUACCUCAACCCUUACCGGUUUUAUCGCUUGUAAGGCGUUGGUUGUGAGCGUUGCCGGUCGCAAGAUCAGCUCGCUUUAAAGUCAUUAGCUGGAUCCACUUUGACCUGGUUCUACUCGGCGUAAUAAGUUAUUAUCGUCGAGGACACCUUCUCUUUUGAGGGUGGCCACAGUAAAGGUUGCGAACCGCUUCUAAUACGUCUGCCUAGUCUUCGGGCUAACGCAACACUUUUUUAUCUCUGACCUCCAAUCAGGCGGGACUACCCGCUGAACUUAA
rnacentral:misc_RNA from 1 species